rnacentral:tRNA from 1 species
CGGGUGUAGUUCAAUGGUAGAAUCCCAGCCUUCUAAGCAGUGGGUCAGGGGUUCGAGUCCCUUCAG